ensembl:lncRNA
CUCAGAAGUGCUAUAACACCACUGACAUGCAAAUAUACGUGUUCUUUUUUAAGUCAUACCUCCUCCAUGAGCUUGCAUAAAAGGUCAUUUGGGGCAGAAAUUAAGAAUAUUGAUUAGUUUCUCAGCCCAGACACAGAGCAGCUAUUGAAAAAAACUUGGAUCUGGAUCCUUUUCUAGGUGAAAAGCAGCAUCACUUCAUACAAAGGCUUAUCUGCAUGCAGCUCUCCUGAAUUCAAUCAAAUUCAUCUGAACUUUUUCAAAUUCCACUGGAGGAGGAGACAGGAGGAUUUAGUAGACAUUGCCUGCUGAGAAGAAACAAGGGGCGAUAACUCAGGGAAAGCCUAAAAGAGUAGGACCUGUCAUGCAGCCUCCUUAACUAUGUCGUUCCUAACUGCAUUUGUUACAGUCUUAGCCAUGAUCUUGCCCAAUCCCAGCUGCGUACACCUGUGUGCUCACUUAGAGCCCGUUUUUUGCACCUAUGUGAAGCCUACUCAGAUUUUGAAUACGUAUGAGUUUUGCAACAAUUUACAUUUUCUGUAUUGGUGUAACUUUAGAUAUUUAGUUUCAGCUCUGGCUCAACAUAGUACAACAGACGUUUUAAAGAUAUAUUUUUUUUUUCCAUAAGAGGAAAAGUAAUUUUAAAGUUGGGUAAAGACAAGGGGAGGUAAGGUGAUAUGGGCCGGUUUGUUUAGCAAUAGGGAUCUGUUUAUUAGUUUAAGGACCAACAUAUUAGUUUAGCAAAAGGAAUCAAUGAAUGCUAAUUCUAAAACUUUCCUUUUCGCUUUUCUUGGUGUGUGAGCAGCCCUGUUUUCUCUUAAUUCUGCUUCACAAGAAGCACCAGAGACAUAAUAGACUGCUUAUCUUUGCAUUUCAUGAGGUGCUAGGAUGUUUUCCUCAUAUUUUUCACAUAUAUGGUUUUGGAAAUUGCUGAUUAUGGGUUAACAACCAAUAGAAAUGUGCCAAACAGGGGAAAAACGGCUGAAGGUCAGCUAAAAGUCUCAAUGAUGAAGCUGAUGGUGGAAAAGUGGGGAUAAAGUAAGUGGGCAUAUGACCACCCUAAAUGCAACCAUGCAUGCCCAGAGGGAUAUUAGCAUAUAUUAAUGUGUUCUUGGAAAAGAAUGAAUACGUAUGUCAGUGUACUGCAUAUGCAUGUCUUAACUAUUUAACUGUAGAACCUGAACUCUGAGAGAGUGCGCUUGUUCGUCAAGUUGUCCAAUUCAUAUCAUGAGGAAUAAAGGAAAGGCACUUUCUAACACUACAUUGGAGUUAGAGGGUUUUCUUCCCAGAUAUUGGAUGACAAGGUAUCUACCUUGAGGAAAGAUAUUAUGAAGACCUACUUACAGAUGCUCUAGUUUUUUGGCCAUAUUUUGAUAAUUAGCAUGGAAACCAUGGACCUGAUUUGAGCUAAGCUGUUUGAUCACAUUUUGGAUGACACGCUGCCCUUUAGCUUGUGUAAAUACAUGAUAUAACUCAUCACCAUUUUCAGUAUAAACCAGCAAGUUCAUCUAAACAUAACAGUUUUGGUGAAGCCAAAUGUCUUUAUUGCCUAGGGUGAUUUUUUUUUUUUAACUUAUUUCUAAAACUGUGGGAUUUCCAAUUAAAAAAAAAAAAUCCCAAAUGUAUUUAUGAAUAAAAAAGGAUAAACACAGUGAUUGCGGAUGCACAUUUUAAUUAACUGGAAAAUCUCUUCUUCUUUUUGUUGAUCCCCUAUUUCCUUCUUUUCCAAGG